AAAAACUCCGGUGGUGUAAGAUGGACCCGCGUCUGAUUAGCUGGUUGGUGAGGUAACGGCUCACCAAGGCGACGAUCAGUAGCCGGCCUGAGAGGGUGAACGGCCACAUUGGGACUGAGACACGGCCCAAACUCCUACGGGAGGCAGCAGUGGGGAAUAUUGCACAAUGGGGGAAACCCUGAUGCAGCAACGCCGCGUGAGUGAAGAAGUCAUUCGUGAUGUAAAGCUCUAUCAGCAGGGAAGAAAAUGACGGUACCUGACUAAGAAGCCCCGGCUAACUACGUGCCAGCAGCCGCGGUAAUACGUAGGGGGCAAGCGUUAUCCGGAUUUACUGGGUGUAAAGGGAGCGUAGACGGCGACGCAAGUCUGAAGUGAAAUGCCAGUGCUCAACACUGGAACUGCUUUGGAAACUGUGUGGCUAGAGUGCAGGAGAGGUAAGUGGAAUUCCUAGUGUAGCGGUGAAAUGCGUAGAUAUUAGGAGGAACACCAGUGGCGAAGGCGGCUUACUGGACUGUAACUGACGUUGAGGCUCGAAGGCGUGGGGAGCAAACAGGAUUAGAUACCCUGGUAGUCCACGCGGUAAACGAUGAAAUGUAGGUGUCGGGGGGCUAUAGCCCUUCG
rnacentral:rRNA from 1 species